AAUAUUUGACAAACGCGGUUCUCCCACAUAUUAUUAUGUGCCUGGAGAGCUGAGGAAAGUCCAUGCUCACACAGGCUGUGACGUCUGUAGUGUUCGUGCUUAGGGAAAAAAUAACCUAAGGUAGAUGAUUCUAACGACUAAGAAGAAGUCUAAGUUCCUAGAAUAUGACUUCUUUUUAUAAAGUGCCGCAGUGACGAAUAAGGCGAAAGCCGGAAAUGAAACGAGGUAAACUCCACGAGUGAGAAACCCAAAUUAUGGUAGGGGAGCUUUAACGAGGUAAUAAGAACUAAGUUAGGGACCGAGUAAUCGGUAGAUAGAUGUUUGUCACUCUUAUUAAGAGGACGGAACAUGGCUUAUAAAU
rfam:Clostridium sp. CAG:417 genomic scaffold, scf8